rnacentral:rRNA from 1 species
UGGGGAAUAUUGCACAAUGGGCGCAAGCCUGAUGCAGCCAUGCCGCGUGUGUGAAGAAGGCCUUCGGGUUGUAAAGCACUUUCAGCGGGGAGGAAGGCGAUAAGGUUAAUAACCUUGUCGAUUGACGUUACCCGCAGAAGAAGCACCGGCUAACUCCGUGCCAGCAGCCGCGGUAAUACGGAGGGUGCAAGCGUUAAUCGGAAUUACUGGGCGUAAAGCGCACGCAGGCGGUCUGUCAAGUCGGAUGUGAAAUCCCCGGGCUCAACCUGGGAACUGCAUUCGAAACUGGCAGGUUAGAGUCUUGUAGAGGGGGGUAGAAUUCCAGGUGUAGCGGUGAAAUGCGUAGAGAUCUGGAGGAAUACCGGUGGCGAAGGCGGCCCCCUGGGCGAAGACUGACGCUCAGGUGCGAAAGCGUGGGGAGCAAACAGG